GCCUGUUUCCCAACAGUCUGCAACAGAGUUUGGUGCUUCAUUGAUCACACUGGGAUUUUUGCCAGUUGGAUAGGUACCCGGAUAAAUUACAUUUCCUAGCCUCCUUGAGGUUAGACAAAUGCUGGCCAGUGGAAUACAGCUUGAUGUUGGCAUCCUGGGCAUCCUUGCAAGAUAGAUUUUGAAUAUGGUGAAGUUUCUGUCAGCCAGAGUCCCUGCAUGGUUGUAUGGAGAAAGUUCCCCAACCCUGCCUAACCACCUACUGAACUUAACA